GACAGAGGGUGCAAACGUUGUUCGGAAUUACUGGGCGUAAAGCGCGUGCAGGCGGUCUGACAAGUCUGAUGUGAAAUCUCCGGGCUUAACCGGGAGAGGCCAUUGGAAACUGACAGGCUGGAGGGCAGUAGAGGUAGGCGGAAUUCCGGGUGGAGUGGUGAAAUGCGUAGAGAUCCGGAGGAACACCAGAGGCGAAGGCGGCCUACUGGGCUGCACCUGACGCUGAGCCGCGAAAGCGUGGGGAGCAAACAGG
rnacentral:rRNA from 1 species